AAGGACUAAACUAGCAAUUAAACGCAAGCAUUAAAAAAAAUACAAUCAACCACAUAAAACAAUACCGUUUCUAGUUGGGUCUGAACGAAAACAAAGUUAAAUGCACCAUACAAAUUACAAACAAUUAAAGAAAUCAAAUCGUAAUCUCAGUAAACACACAGGGACCUACUUAGGAAAUAGACCAAUUAGUCUAGCAUGCGCGGAUCCUACCCCGGGUCAGGUCACCGCCUGAAUCUGGUCGUCAAACGACGUCGUUUUGAAGCUAUUAUGUUAGCGACAAACGGCGACGUUUUAGUCCCGUAUUUAAAAACUAAAACCCUAAACACUUUUCACUUCAAAAACCUAAAGAGAACAAAUGUUCUCCGCGCUGCUCUGACGAUUCACCGCCUCCGAAGACCUCCGAUCUUCGCCUCAAUUCCGAUGACUGCAGAGAGGGCAAAAAUCCAGCCUUCAGGUACGCCCUCCUUCCUUUACUGCUACUGUUUCUUUCUUUUAAUAACAAUCUAUAGAUGCGAAAUAAAAAAAAAGGAAGAAAAAGGAAAGAAAAGCAACGAACUGCGAAUAUGAGAACAGAAAAAAAGAACCCAGUAAUCACCUUUUGAUAUUUCAAAUUUUGUAUUCUGAAUGCGUAAAUUGUUUACAGUGUUCGAAUGGCCUUCUUAUAGCCCGAUUUAUAGAAAAAUAAAAAAUAAAUAAAAGGUUCCCCUAUUCUGUUAUUUUCCUAUUUGUUGCUGUUUUCGUGCGUUUUUUUUUGCAGGUAUUCGGCCAGCCUGGAGGUACGGAGGUGGCCGUAUGGAGGCGUGCGUGGCUAGGGCGUACGGAGGCUGAUCACGCGCGGAAGGCUUGGCUGUGGCUCAUGAAGUUGUUGCUGUCUAGGGUUUCCUGAUUGGGGUUAGAUUCGGUAUUGGGCUGAUUGGGUUGGGUAUUAGAUGUUGGACCUUAAUUGUUUGGGCUAAUUUUCGGACUAGUGUUUAGUGGGUUUGAGGCUUAAUGUAAUCCGAGCUUGGAUUUAAAUUUGUAAUACUGGACAGUAUUGGACUUUUAUUAUAUUUAUUUUAUAUAUAUAUUAUAUUUGGGUUUUACUACUUGGGUUCGGGUCGGGCAAAAUUUGGGUAUUACAAUGGUAUUUGGAUGAUUUUUGAAAUACAAAAUAAAAAUUCG
rnacentral:lncRNA from 1 species